ensembl:lncRNA novel transcript
GGAGGCGGAGUCGGCGCCGAGAACAUGGCCGGAGGCAAAGCUGGAAAGGACAGUGGGAAGGCCAAGGCUAAGGCAGUAUCUCGCUCACAGAGAGCUGGGCUACAGUUUCCUGUGGGCCGCAUCCACAGACACUUGAAGACUCGCACCACAAGCCAUGGAAGGGUGGGUGCCACUGCUGCCGUGCACAGGGCUGCGAUUCCGGGGUACCUCACUGCAGAGGUGCUGGAGCUGGCAGGUAAUGCUUCUAAGGGUCUCAAAGCAAAGCGUAUCACUCCGCGUCACUGGCAGCUUGCAGUCCGUGGUGAUGAAGAGUUGGAUUCUCUUAUCAAGGCUACCACAGCUGGGGGUGGCGUGAUCCCCUCACAUCCACAAAUCUCUGACUGGAAAGAAGGGACAGCGGAAAACUGCUUAGAGGGAUGCUUUAACCAACCCUCUUCCUCCCCGUCAUUGUACUGGAACUGGGACAGAAGAAAUAAUGGGGAUAUGUGGAAUUUUUAACAACAGUUAAAUGGAAAAGCAUAGACAAUUACUGUAGACAUGAUAAAAGAAACAUUUGUACGUUCUUAGACUCGAAGUUUGAUAAAAGUACCUUUUCAUGUGGUGAAAAAAAAAUAAAGUGAGGUGAAAUUCAGA